CUAUUAAGAACUUCUGUUAAAGACUCCGCGUCCUGCGGUAACACAGAAGUCAGCAUGUCCUGUGCA
rnacentral:sRNA from 1 species